GAUUAAGGUCUCCGUAGGUGAACCAGCGGAGGGAUCAUUACCGAGUUUACAACUCCCAAACCCCUGUGAACAUACCUUUAUGUUGCCUCGGCGGAUCAGCCCGCGCCCCGUAAAACGGGACGGCCCGCCGCAGGAACCACAAAACUCUGAUUUUAGUGUAACUUCUGAGUCUAAAAAACAAAUAAAUCAAAACUUUCAACAACGGAUCUCUUGGUUCUGGCAUCGAUGAAGAACGCAGCAAAAUGCGAUAAGUAAUGUGAAUUGCAGAAUUCAGUGAGUCAUCGAAUCUUUGAACGCACAUUGCGCCCGCCAGUAUUCUGGCGGGCAUGCCUGUUCGAGCGUCAUUUCAACCCUCAAGCCCCCGGGUUUGGUGUUGGGGAUCGGGCUGUACUCCAGCCCGGCCCCGAAAUCUAGUGGCGGUCUCGCUGCAGCCUCCAUUGCGUAGUAGCUAACACCUCGCAACUGGAACGCGGCGCGGCCAAGCCGUUAAACCCCCAACUUCUGAAUGUUGACCUCGGAUCAGGUAGGGAUACAAUC
rnacentral:rRNA from 1 species